UUGAUGUGAAGAGGGGAGAGAAUAAGUUUGUGCCCCUUGAAAUUUAGUKGACAGUUCAGCCACCCAUGAUGUGAGAUAUUGCAGAAAGCCUAUAUAACUUUCAAAAUGGCACUGACUUCACUAUAUUCAGGAGAACAAUAAAAAAUUAAUACAGAUCUAUUUUUAUUACUAAAAUAAUUUUGUUUAUGUAUAUUCUGUAAAGGCACAGACCUUUUGCUCAAAAAAUAUGUCCUUUUGAUACCACAGUGUUCAAAUUAGGGCUAUCUCUUUAAAGUUCACUAAUGCAUCUUGGAGAAAAGGAAUACAUCUUGUCUAGAUAACGCUGCUUUUUUUUGCAGCUUUGUUGUAGUUUCCUUUUCCUAUGUUAUUUUAUUAAUGGGAUUUUUAUGUGGAUAGUAUCUCAAGACUCCCUUUGCUUCUGCUGUUUAUUCAUCACUUGAAGUCAUAAUAAUUUGUUUCUAAAACCACAGCUGGCUGCUAUAAAGGCAGAGAGAGGAAGACCACGAUUUAUGUGGUGAAUGCAAAACAAGAACAGAAGACUGUAAUAAAUGUUUGUUACUUAAAACUUCAGAAAUUGUUAUGAAAAAGGUAGCAUAAAAAUUAAAUAGGCAGUGUAUCAGCAGGAUCUUUCCUAAACAGAGUUCUGUUAAAUUUUUUUUCAUGAGAGCUUAAUGUCUCUUAAAAACAGCACUAAAUAUUUGAUAAACUUACAAGAGUAAUGAAAUUCAAACUUAAAAACUGAAAAUCUAUCUUUAAAUUACAAUAUUGGCUCCUCAUAAGAGCACUUGGAUUCACAGUUACCUUUAUUCUCUGGCUUGAGACAUCUGAAAGUGCUCAGGAGGUCGACGGAGUACGUUUGUAUUUCACUGUUUCUUUCACCAAUGUUAGUUGCUGUUUUUCUCCUCUGUCUGCAUGAGUCUUCCAUACAGUCACAGGGGAGAAAAACAUAGUUGUAAGGGUAAGAAAAGGUGACUAAAUUAAAUUACUUUUGGGACUGCGGGCCAUAUGUAGUGCAUGAAACUACUUAAAGCUACUUUUUAGCUGCUUUGGCACUGGGAUAUUUAAUACAGGUUUUGUCUGCCUUAAGGGUUUUACUGUAUAAAAAUCAGAACAGACUAGGAGAAAGAGAAAAGAAGGAGCAGACUCUGAAAACUUAGCUUUCCAUCAUGUAAACAAAUGAAGGGUUUUUUAAUUUGCCACGUAACAAACAGCAAUUCUUCUAAACAGUCACUAAUACAAAAACUGUAUACAAGUGGGGAUUUAAAAUUUUUACUUACAAUUCAUACAAUUCAAAAUGCUUUGUUUAUUUUUAAUCUGUGUUUUGAGGUAGCAUUUCUGGGACAAACACUGCCUGUACAAAUACAAAUAUGAAUACUUCUGAGCCAGUUUUUGAGGCAUAUCACCUGACUGGAGACGAAAGGCACAAACUUAAGCAGACCCUAAUUUUUUUUUCCUAAUACUUUCUACAGUUCUUGAACAUUUUGUUUCUGACUGUAUAUCAUCCAUAURGUAGAUACUUUUAAUCAAGUUUUAUAUUACUAGUGAAAAUAUGAACAUUAUGAGUUCUUGAAAAUCAUGAGCAGAAUAUAUUGUUUCUGACUUGAUUUCAAAUGUAUAUGCUCAAGACAGGGAAUGAUGAGUGAAUUUAUUUUUUGUUUUUCCUUUAGGCAAAAAUCCCUUUCAUGAUCAAGGAAGGAGGCAACAACAUUUUUACAGUCCUGCGAAGUGCCUGUUUCUAGAAAUGAUUUUCACUUUGUUCCUGAAAAGUAUGCCAAGUUUACUGUAGAGCCAGUACGCUGAUUUAUUUAUAUAAUAUGAUGUGAGCAGAGGAGGGAUAAUGUGUUUUUGGCCCAGCUGAUUUUGCAAAAUUUGCUCUGAUUCACUGAAAAUAUUUACUGACUUGUUAAGAUAGAUUUAUCUGGCUACCUGGAAGAGUACAAGGGGCCUUUCCUUGUUCUCUGCAUCCUUAACUUCCCUAAGAUGCAGCACAGAAUAUCCAUUAUCCAUGGCAUACCAUUUGGUCAGUUAAAAUCCCCUUCAGUUAAAAGGACAGCUAUUGCUUAUCAUAUAUAGCUACUAAUUGACCAUAUUUCGCAACUGUUUACCUGAACUGGUGUAAAUAACAGUGCACAGCUGCCAUGGUUUCUCACUGUCCUGGGUUUACAGUCUGGUUCUUGAGCAGAGAAAUAUGAAUAUUGAGCCUUUAGCUCCAGCAAAUUGGAACGAGCUAAUUGUAGCUCCACAGCACAAAGAAGGUCUGCAAUGUGAACUCUUAGAGAAUUUCUCACUGAUCAGUUAGGAGAAAGGUUUGCUUAUUUCAGAAAGUGUUCCUAAAACRUAAGAAAUAAAAUGCAGAGAAAACAAAUAUUGUAGUGUAUGGCAUCACUCUGCUCUUUCCAGCUGCCUGAGGAACAGAAUGUUUUGAUGAAAUAGAUUAAGAUUUAUACCAAACAAUUUUACUCUUUACCAUCUGCCACCUUAUUUCCUGCCAUUUUUAUCUAUUCAGAUGUGAAUAUUUUGCCUUUCUUGAUAAUAUACAUUUGGUAAAGGAGAGUAACAAAAAAAAUCAGUGAAUAAUUUCUAUGAAUCAGGGGUGCUCUAAAAGGAAACCAGCUCUUGUAAUUGAAAAACAAACAUCAAAAGAUGGCACCAAGAGAGUAGCACUUUGAAAUAACAUCCAGAUUCUUUUCUUUCAGAGACAGUGGAGAAAAAGAAGGAUCAUUCCCUUUGGUUCAAUGGACAGGUAGACAGAUAAUCACUGACAAGCAUGAAACUGACCAUAAAAAUGUGGCAUUUAAGUCCAUCUCUCAUCUCAUCAUGUGCUAUCUACUAUUAAAAAGUAAAGGCCUCAACUACAUUGAUUAGGAGGUUACCUAGAGUUACCUAGACACACUUAGGAUUGUCAGUGGAAAUAAUUAAAUGUAGCUCUUUGUUAGUUUCUCCAAUUUACUAUUUACAAUUUAAGCUAAAACCAAAAUAUCGUAAGAAUACUUUGGACAGACAUGUAAAGGAGAAGUAGAAUGUAGUGACACUGUACUAAGUUUAAAAAAAAAGUUAAUUUACACAGCAGUUUUUACUUUAUAGUAUGUUARGCUUCUUCAUAAACAGCAGAGUUCUGGUCUAUCACAAUGUUAUUUUGUAAAUUAUCCAAUUUCACUCUGACUAAAACUAACUAAAUAUUGCUGAAAGUUCCUGGAGUAAGUUGUAAAUAUAUGCUUUGACAGCAUUUUCUUCCCUAUCAUGCUUCCGUCUUCUGAACAUGGUAGAAAAAAAGACURCUGGAAAGGAACCAUUUUUGAUACAGACAUUUCAAACAACUACUAGGAGAAUAUUUGAUAUGGAUUUGAAUAUUCAGAUUAGAGUAAAAAUGCCAUGACUGUAAUAUUUAUUUACCUUUUUUUUUUUUUUUUGGCUGAGAAAGAGCUUCCAGGUGUAUCUAUAUUCCAUGUACACCUAUGCAUACACAUGUUCAGAACCAUGCUCUCUGAGGUUCUGGAUUUUCAGAAACAUACACUCUUGUCUUCGUUUUAGAAAAAUCCUAGAGAUAGCACAGCUGAAAGCUGAAAGCACUGUGAAAUCUUGCAUUCUCCUCCUAGAUGCUGCCAGAAAAAACAAGCCUUUUAUGCUUGAGGAGGCUUGAGAUGUUUUCCUGCCAGUUGCGAGGAAAGUCCUAYGCCUCAAAGUAAAAGAGAGCAAGUAAUGUCUGUGAAAAAGGUUUUCCUGACAGACGGCRUGAAGGCGGCUCUCCUAUGCUUUACCAAUCCAUAAGCAAUUAAAGUUCCUUUGUUGGCAAAGAGUCAGUUUUGAAACGAAUAAGGAAAACUAAAACAGGUGAUGCAGUGGCCAUCUCUGAAGGGGAGAUUUUUGAGUGCAAAGUAAAGUGAGGUAGAAACUGGGUUAUAUGGUUCUGAAUAAAUGGCCUCCCAUCGGAAAAGGAUAAAUUUUAAAUCACUGUUCUAGUUCUUACGUUAAGGAUAGUUUAUUUCACCCAGAGCCAUUUGGCCUUGAAGAUGAAUUCCUACAAUUAAGUGUUUAUGAUUGAAAGUGCUGCCAUGGAGAGCAGACAGAUGAAUAUCAUUUUAGGAGUACUGUGAAUCAUUAAAUGAGUUGUAGAACCUUUUUCUGGGCAUGAGCCACUUUUAAAUUUCAGGCUAAGGCUAUAAUAGACUUCAGCAUAAGGCUUGACGUGUUGCUGUAUUUAGGAGUUUAAAUAACAGGAUAAUCAACAUUUACUGAUGUAUUUAUAUAACUUUUAACUUCUUACAGUUAAUUGAAAAUAUGUUGCCCAUUGUAUGUGAAUGUGCUGCUGGGUUCAAAUAMAUUUUUCAGAUUAGUGCAUUAAGUGUUAGUGUCAGGUAAUGAACUUAACCUGCCUCUGACGUGUUGGCUCUUUUGGCUUGAGAUAGGCAUGGCUGCUUUCCCUGCUUCAGUAUAGAGAGGCUGGAUGUGAAAUGUCAUACAAACCUGGACAGAUGACAAGAAAGCAGUGUUGGCUGCCAGCUACCUUCUCUCGGUUUGUCAGGAUUAGUGCUUGCUUUUUAUCAGGAUGGCUCAAUGCAUCGUCCUAUAUAUGACUGGCUUGUUGGGAGGAUGUGAACUGAAAUACAGGCCAGACAGGCUGGCUCAUGAGAGGAAAUAGGCACAGGGCUACUCCUUCUGGUUAAGGAAAAAGCAUUGGUCCACAGCUCGCCUUUUCUUGGUAYGAGAAUUCUUUUCUUGUGUGAGAAUUAAAGCUCAAAUAGUAGUAGAUAAAAUUGGACAGACUGCUUGAAGCAGUAUCUCCCCCUGCACCCAAAACCUUCCUGUGGCUCCGACAGAGCUCUGCCUGCUGCAGGCAAGAGAAAUUAACUCAUGCAUCUUCUCCUAAACGACCUCAGCUUUCAGACUGGUGUUUUAAGAUCAGUCCCAGUUUCCGAGUGGCUCCAAGUUGCCAUCGAUCAGGAGCAGCUCCGUGAGCUGUUGGGUCAUGAGGUGACAAUUCUGUCCCGGGGUGGGGUGAACAGCUGGGGGUGAGAGUACUAACUCUUUCAGCCAUCUGAUUUUAAUCCCUUACCAUAUGUGACUUGAAGUCCUUAGAUGCCCUCUACUGCCAUAUACCAGAAUUAACAGAUGGCUCUGUGUAACCAAAUUCAGCUUUGCUGGAGUUUGUUAUUAUCUCUCUGUCUUUAUAAAUGAACGGAGGAGGGGAAAUAAUAUCCAUAAUUAUUACAAAAUAUGCAAAGCCUUUGGAGUGUGAGUUUGGGCUAGACAUAUUUUCUGACUUUCAGUGCCAUUGCCCUGUAUUUCAAAAUCUUAACACUAAUUUUAGUAAUCUCUUAGAGCUCAUUUCUUUGAUAAAUUACCCCUCUGUGAAUAAAUUUGUUCUGGAAAGUUGCCUGAGGCACAGCAGAAUUUUUCCCCAGCAUUUCAUGCCACAUGAUGCUAGACAGAAGGAAGCUGCGAAACCUGCUGCUGUAAAUCAUUCUUUGGUAAAGAAGAAAAGGAUACAUUUAGCCACUGGACGUAUCUUUCAGGUAAGACGGAACAGCAGGCGUGAGUGUACCUGAAAUGGACCAAGAACAAAUUUUCUGUCCUACCUUUGCCUGUGUUACCACAGGUUAUGUGUGCUGGCAGGCACAAGGCAAUCCUAAAUCAACCAGAACUGAUCUUGGAGGGAACCAUUCACCAGGCUCUUAAGAAUCAAGUGGUUCURUGGUGCUUGAGCUUUAGCUGUGCUGGGUAUGUCAACUCCUUCUCCUAUAAGGAACAGCCAGCAAAACAAUCCCACCUUUAAUUCCCCAUCCCAGGUUCCUGUCACUGAUUUGACCGAGUAGGUUUGGUCCAAAUUUAGCAGCUAUGUUUUGUGUAYGCUUUUAAACAUGCCUUACCUUUCCUGAGGACACUCUAUUAGCUCUUUCUGCUCUAGGUGGUUGCUGGUGAUGUUGCAGAUAGAAGCAGGGGUGGCAGGAGGGAGCAUGAGCUUUCCAGUGGAACAUGUGCCAGCAGGGACCUAGGUAAAUGGAGGGGGCUGUGCACAGAAGACACCCGGGAGGGCCUCUGCCAGGCUCCUAAAAAGCUUGAGUUCAUGAAGGGUGCAACUUUCACACUGUGUUUUUUUUUACCUCCAGCACAGUCCUCUACUCUCAGGCACACUGGUCUAGAAUAUUGCUGCUUACAUUUUUCAGGAGCUUUUAUAAUUUUUCCAGAACAUCAUUUCAAACUAACRUAAGUCCAUAGGAAAAUCUUAUUGUGAAUGGGGGCUUUGUUCUGUGAGACUAUUUUUGAAAAUGCCAGGUUCCCUCUUAGUCAUUGCAUAAAAGGCUGAAGCAUGGAUCUAUUCUUAUGAUUUGUUUCAGCAUAUUCAUUCUUUCAGCCUCUCCCCCUGCUUUCUCCAAGAAAUACAUAGAGUUCUUCAAGGCCUCCUGGCAGGUGGGCUCUAUAAUGUUAUGGUGGCAAACCUGUAAAGCUUUACCCAUUUAUACCAACCAAGCAUGUGGUUCAUUGCUUGUAUUUUAAGUAGGUUCCCAUUUUCCCAGUUUCUUUAAGGGCAUUUCAAUCUUUCAGUGGCUUUUUUUUCUUCCCCUAUCCAUCAGGGAGUGAAAUUGUGCGUCCACAGAAUGCAAAUAACAGCUGUUUCCACUCAAUUUGCAUUCAUAUACUUAGCUCUUAAAAAUAGAUUAUUUCUAGAGGCUUUCACAAUCUAUUCAAAAUUUCUACUUAUUCAGAGGUACUAGUGAGAUGCUAAUGAAAUCUCUUUGGAUUGGCUGAUCAAAAAGGCGCAGCAACAACAAUGAAAUUCCCCAAAUGACUGAUCAGUUAUGUUUCUGAUUUAUACUUCAGCUAUUGACUGAAGUGUAUCUUUUAAUAUCGGGGAUUGUAAGAUCAGUUCCUUGGGCUGCUCUAAGAGGACAAAAUAUGCCAGGUAAGUAGAUCAAUUGUUAAAAAAAAUCUGUGCUGAACUGGUAAUGUAUUUCUAGCAAAAUUAAUUUAUCAUACAAGUACAACUGAAAAGGAAAAAAGAACCAAAACAGCACCUGGCAAACUAUUUAAAGGGAACAGCUUAUUUGCCAGCGUCACAGAUUUUUGAAUAAACAAACCCCUUAUGCCCUGGGAAUAACUGAAAAACAACUCUUUGGGUUUUGUACCACUAUUUUCUUUUGUUGACAUUUCAAGAGCCCUUAAAAGGAUACACUUUUUUUAUUUGGUAAUGCCUAAAUGAAGAGGUAAUUAUAUCCAAUUACUAUGGGGUUUUUUUUGUUCAGAAAACUUUGGAAGACUUUCACCUCAUUAUUUUGCCAGUUGUAUCAACUUAGACCAUUUCUCUGGAUUUCUUUGAUCCUCUGAAGACUGAAAAUUAAAGAACAAUGACAUUUAGUGACAUUUGGAAUAGUUCAUUUACUCCAACAUUGACUGUAUGAGAAGAUGCUUGCUCCUAAAUCCAGAUUUUUUUUUGUGUUACAGAAAUGCACUUUCUUCCCUGAUUGUUUGAUUAUUCAGAAGAAAAAUCCUUUUAUUUUUACAGAGUCUCAACUGGGGCAUAACUGGACUGGAGAAUCUUGAUGACUCAAGUUGUUUACAGAAGACUAAUUAUGCAUUGUGAAGUUUCUGGAAAGAUGUGAGACAGCGCUGCAGCCUGUGAGAAAGGAGCUUUCCUGGCCCAAUCAUGAGGCUAUAAAAUUAGCCACUGAAAGAUGGAGUAACAUGGAGUGGAAGAGRGUCACACUCACCAGAAUGCCAGUAUCUAAAUGUGCAGAGCUCCUCUUUAAGCUUAGUCAUAUAUUGACCAUCAUCAUUGCUGAAAAUCUUUUGGARGACAUGUACCUUUGAGAAGAAAGUCACUUCCUAAUUUUUUAUCCAACAGGUAAGACCACCUUGUUUGUUUUCAAUUGGAAAUGCAACUACUACCACUAUUACAAAUAUUUUUUCUUGUUUUAGUCUUUUACACCUGUUUUUCUUGAAGUAUGUGCAACUGAUAGAUUUUAAAAUACUGCUAUGUAAUUUCCAGGCAAAAAGUGCUAACAUGUUUUAGGUUUCAAUGGAGGAUUUUCACAUUGGGUACUUCAGCAACACAGCUUCCCAGCUGCAGUAUUUUACUAGAACUGAGAAAUGGAAAUUCAAACAAAAAGUGUACACUUUUUGUGUAGAACUCUAGAACUCUAGAAAAAAUUAUCUAGAUGUUAAACUGCAACACUACAUUUUGCCAAUGUAAAGAGCACACUGAAGGUGCUGAUAAAAAAAAAUAUUUAAAGUUCUUUGUGGCUUUUAUGAACUCAGUGUUGAAUGGUAUUUGAAGUUCAAAUUGAAAACAGUAGCAGCAGUAUUUCUUUGUAUUCUCUCGCCCAGUAGGACAUGUGAAUCAUAAUCAAUUCCAAUUAUCCUCUUUGAGUAGUAUACUCAUAGACAGACACUAAUUUCUCUGUAGUGCACACGUGUUUUAGUGYCUUGUUUAAAUUUCAGUGUUACUGUAUGUUAAGAUACCUGAGCUUUUCUUACUCUGCAGCCUUCCCUCAAUUCAACUGAGUUCCUCCUUGUGGCAGCAGCUAUAUUCAUCACUCAUUUACUUCCAAGACAUGCUGAUCACAUACUAAAAGGUAUUUCAAAUUUAAAAAUACGCCCUAAAGACUCAAACCUAUGAACUACUAAAUGCCUUUACAAGAGGCAUACAUAAAUACGCACACUUGGACAUACUUUGGU